UAGAGUUUGAUCCUGGCUCAGAUUGAACGCUGGCGGAAUGCUUUACACAUGCAAGUCGAACGGUGAAGCCCUUCGGGGUGGAUCAGUGGCGAACGGGUGAGUAACACGUGAGCAACCUGCCCCUGACUCUGGGAUAACUACCGGAAACGGUGGCUAAUACCGGAUAUGACCUUCUCACGCAUGUGGGUUGGUGGAAAGAUUUUUCGGUUGGGGAUGGGCUCGCGGCCUAUCAGCUUGUUGGUGGGGUGAUGGCCUACCAAGGCGACGACGGGUAGCCGGCCUGAGAGGGCGACCGGCCACACUGGGACUGAGACACGGCCCAGACUCCUACGGGAGACAGCAGUGGGGAAUAUUGCGCAAUGGGCGAAAGCCUGACGCAGCGACGCCGCGUGGGGGAUGAAGGCCUUCGGGUUGUAAACCGCUUUUGUCAGGGAAGAAAAGGUUCUGGUUAAUACCUGGGACUCAUGACGGUACCUGAAGAAUAAGCACCGGCUAACUACGUGCCAGCAGCCCCGGUCAA
rnacentral:rRNA from 1 species